rnacentral:rRNA from 1 species
GAUGAACGGCUAGCUACAGGCUUAACACAUGCAAGUCGAGGGGGAAACGACAUCGAAAGCUUGCUUUUGGUGGGCGUCGACCGGCGCACGGGUGAGUAACGCGUAUCCCAACCUGCCCCACCACUUGGGGAUAACCUUGCGAAAGUAAGACUAAUACCCAAUGAUAUCCCACGAAGGCAUCCGAAUGGGCUUAAAGAUUUAUCGGUGAUGGAUGGGGAUGCGUCUGAUUAGCUUGUUGGCGGGGUAACGGCCCACCAAGGCAACGAUCAGUAGGGGUUCUGAGAGGAAGGUCCCCCACAUUGGAACUGAGACACGGUCCAAACUCCUACGGGAGGCAGCAGUGAGGAAUAUUGGUCAAUGGGCGAGAGCCUGAACCAGCCAAGUAGCGUGCAGGACGACGGCCCUAUGGGUUGUAAACUGCUUUUAUAAGGGAAUAAAGUGAGUCUCGUGAGACUUUUUGCAUGUACCUUAUGAAUAAGGACCGGCUAAUUCCGUG